UAAGAAGUGAGGGGAUAAAUAAAUCAUGAGAAGCCAACUAUUCGCCCUCCAACCUUUCGACAUGAUGCUUCACGAUUAAGGUUCCAAUGUGUUGAUGGGCCCAGCAAUGGCAGCUCCAACUAGUCUGUGAACAUCUGGCUUGGGCAGCUAUACUGAUCAUCCUGCCUACAUUCGUCUGCUCUGUUCUGAUUCCUUCCCUGUCCUCGAAUCACCAAUACAUCCGCAUCUGGGACUCUCUGUGUGGCGACCGACGCACUGUUUUGGCAGCCAGCCAGCUGGAACUAUCCAUUAUCUCUGGAUUCCAACUGAACUAUAAGACCAGAGGUUCCUGCCUUAGAUGCCGAUACUGCUUACUCUGAUCCUGUCGUCAAUAAACGUUGUGAGAAUUCUGUUUGUCCACCUUGAUUACUGGAUCCUUCAGCUCUGAGCCUGACAAUUAGGUCCUUUGGUACUCUGUACACCCAGACAUAGAACAAUAUACAAAGAAGCAGCAUUUAUCCUAUCCCCUACUUAUCUGGAGCAAACUCCCAAAAGACCCUAAAAGGGCUGA